GAUGAACGCUGGCGGCGUGCCUAAUACAUGCAAGUCGAGCGAACGGACGAGAAGCUUGCUUCUCUGAUGUUAGCGGCGGACGGGUGAGUAACACGUGGAUAACCUACCUAUAAGACUGGGAUAACUUCGGGAAACCGUAGCUAAUACCGGAUAAUAUUUUGAACCGCAUGGUUCAAAAGUGAAAGACGGUCUUGCUGUCACUUAUAGAUGGAUCCGCGCUGCAUUAGCUAGUUGGUAAGGUAACGGCUUACCAAGGCAACGAUGCAUAGCCGACCUGAGAGGGUGAUCGGCCACACUGGAACUGAGAAACGGUCCAGACUCCUACGGGAGGCAGCAGUAGGGAAUCUUCCGCAAUGGGCGAAAGCCUGACGGAGCAACGCCGCGUGAGUGAUGAAGGUCUUCGGAUCGUAAAACUCUGUUAUUAGGGAAGAACAAAUGUGUAAGUAACUGUGCACAUCUUGACGGUACCUAAUCAGAAAGCCACGGCUAACUACGUG
rnacentral:rRNA from 1 species